rnacentral:rRNA from 1 species
AAAUUGAAGAGUUUGAUCAUGGCUCAGAUUGAACGCUGGCGGCAGGCCUAACACAUGCAAGUCGAACGGUAACAGGAAACAGCUUGCUGUUUCGCUGACGAGUGGCGGACGGGUGAGUAAUGUCUGGGAAACUGCCCGAUGGAGGGGGAUAACUACUGGAAACGGUAGCUAAUACCGCAUAACGUCGCAAGACCAAAGAGGGGGACCUUCGGGCCUCUUGCCAUCGGAUGUGCCCAGAUGGGAUUAGCUUGUUGGUGAGGUAACGGCUCACCAAGGCGACGAUCCCUAGCUGGUCUGAGAGGAUGACCAGCCACACUGGAACUGAGACACGGUCCAGACUCCUACGGGAGGCAGCAGUGGGGAAUAUUGCACAAUGGGCGCAAGCCUGAUGCAGCCAUGC